rnacentral:rRNA from 1 species
AGGCAUCUCUUGAAUAUCAAAGGUGAGCCAGUACAGGAUGGACCCGCGUCUGAUUAGCUAGUUGGUAAGGUAACGGCUUACCAAGGCGACGAUCAGUAGCCGACCUGAGAGGGUGAUCGGCCACAUUGGAACUGAGACACGGUCCAAACUCCUACGGGAGGCAGCAGUGGGGAAUAUUGCACAAUGGGCGAAAGCCUGAUGCAGCAACGCCGCGUGAGUGAUGAAGGCCUUCGGGUCGUAAAACUCUGUCCUCAAGGAAGAUAAUGACGGUACUUGAGGAGGAAGCCCCGGCUAACUACGUGCCAGCAGCCGCGGUAAUACGUAGGGGGCUAGCGUUAUCCGGAUUUACUGGGCGUAAAGGGUGCGUAGGCGGUCUUUCAAGUCAGGAGUGAAAGGCUACGGCUCAACCGUAGUAAGCUCUUGAAACUGGGAGACUUGAGUGCAGGAGAGGAGAGUGGAAUUCCUAGUGUAGCGGUGAAAUGCGUAGAUAUUAGGAGGAACACCAGUUGCGAAGGCGGCUCUCUGGACUGUAACUGACGCUGAGGCACGAAAGCGUGGGGAGCAAACAGGAUUAGAUACCCUGGUAGUCCACGCUGUAAACGAUGAGUACUAGGUGUCGGGGGUUACCCCCUUCGGUGCCGCAG